GUGCCCGGUGCCCGGUGCACUAAAAUAUAGCAGACUGCGUAUGGAUGCCCUUAUAAAAGAAUUUGGUACCGGCCUCACAAUGUGCGUUUGUAGCCCGUAGAAAAGCGGGACCCACACGUCCAUAAAAAAAUCGAGCAAGCCAACCUCUCCUCGAUCCUUCGCGCGAGUUCCUUCUCGUCCGCCUCUGUCCAGAGAAAAUCCCCUUUCUCCUCCGACCAGAUCCAUCUCCAUCCUCACCUCCUCGUCUCGAUCCGGCGUGGAUCUAGGCCAAAUCGACACGCAUCUCCUACCCCCAGGCAAGGUGUUCGUCGGCCCGCCGAGGCUCCGCGGCUAGUGGAGGUGAUGUGCGGCGGGGGACGAGCUCCAUGGACGAGGAGAAGGAAGCAGGAGGCGGAGGCGGGCCAGCAGUAUGUUGUGGCUAGCGCUGCCCGGACUACUGGACGGCCGGCUACUGCGCUGCCUCUACUACUUUCUACUACUAUGCUGCCUCUACUGGUCUCGAAGCAGCACAGGUGAGGAUGCGUGAUGUUCAGCCUAUGAAGCAAACAAAAAUGUUUUACUGGAUUCAGUUAAGACAUUGUAAUGUUCGGCCUAUGAAGCUCUAUCUAUUAGGACGUGCUAUACUUGCAUGUAGUGUAGUACUAGUUAAUAAUGUCAGUGAUGCUACUUUCCUGUUCUUAAAAAUUAGCAACAAAAAAUAAUAAUAAAAUGUUCUCAUUCCACAAUUUGUAAACUAGAUUACACAAUUACAAAGGAGAUGCUCGACUGGAAAACUAAAGUAGAAAAGGGUAGAAUAAGAUGAAUUCAUGUAGAACUUAUAAUUGCUAAUGUCCAUUUCCUCCAAACUUUUGCCAAAUAUUCUCAACCAAGUCAGCCUUGAGACGACGAUGUGUGGAUCGAUCCCGAAUGGCAGCAUCUGUCUCAAGAACCAGAUCAAACCCAUCAAAUGGUCCUUGUUCAGUUUCAAGAUAUGGUAUUUGGGCGCCUUGUAGCAAUUCAUAGUCACAGUCAUAUUUGUCAUAGCACUUGUAGGUGUGCCUCUCAUCUGCAACGAUCAUGUUAUGCAAUAUAAUGCAAGCAUACAUGAUCUCAGCAAGAGCACACCUUUGCAACAUACGCCCUGGAUGACGAACUAUAGCAAAACGAGCUUGCAAAACACCAAAAGCCCGCUCUACAUCUUUCCUUGCUCCUUCUUGAUGUGCUUUAUAUAACUUGUGCUUCUCACUUUGAGCCAUAGGGAUUGAUUUCACAAAUGUCGCCCAUUCCGGAUAAAUGCCAUCUACUAAGUAGUAUCCCAAGUUAUACUCAUUGUGGUUGACUUCAAAGUGAACCUUUGGAGCUGUACCUUGCAGCACUUGAGUAAACAAAGUUGAUUGGUCUAGGACAUUGAUAUCAUUACUUGAUCCAGCAACCCCAAAAAAUGCAUGCCAUAUCCAUAGGUCAUGUGAGGCUACAGCUUCGAGCAUGACUGUGGAAACUCCAUGAUCGCCACGAGUGAACAUUCCCUUCCAAGCCACUGGACAAUUUCUCCAUGUCCAGUGCAUGCAAUCAAGACUUCCCAACAUGCCAGGAAAGCCACGGGCCUCCCCUACAUGAAGUAAGCGUUGUAUGUCUUCGUUAGUGGGCCUUCUAAGAUAUUCUGGACCAAACUUCUCCAUCACACCCUUGCAAAAUGUGGUCAUGCACUUGAUGAUUGUGGUUUCACCCAUUCUCAAGUUAUCAUCAAACAAAUCAGCAGGUGUCCCAAAUGCUAGCACUCGCAUAGCAGCAGUGCAUUUCUGCAAGGGAGAAAAGCCAGGCUUGCCAAAUGCAUCACUCCUCUGAGUAAAGAAUGGAGACCACUCGCCAAGAGUUUGGACAAUGUGUAAAAAUAAAUGCUUCCUCAUACAAAACCUACGCCUAAAUUGCUUGUCAGUGUAUAAUGGAUUUUCUGAGAAGUAAUCAUCCAUCAGCCUAUCCUCACCACCUUGCCUAUCUCUAUCAAGGUGUCUUCUAGGUAGUCUUCUGUGUUCAUUGGACGUACCUAUCUGUUGUGCUGCAAUCUGAGCUCGAAUUUCUGCUUCAAUCUGGGCUUCAACUGGGUUAUUCAUGAAGUCCCAGAAAAAGUCACUCAUGGCUUCGAAACUAAUUGCUGCAUCAACAUUGUCUUGUUGCUCUGCUUGUGGGUUCUCAUUGGUGGACAUCUCUUGAGUGGAAGGUGUGUUGUGUUUGGGCUUGGUGGGAUGGAGCUGCUGCCUCUAUUAAUAGGGAAUAGUUUCCAACGGCUAGUUUUCAACAGCUAUAUUUCCAGCAAGUUAAAUGCAGUGCAUAGUAAUUCAUCAAAUGAUUACAUAGUAAUUCAGAAAAUGCUUACAACCAGUGAUUACAUACUAAUUCAUAAAGUUCUAAUAAACAACGAUCACAUGAAACUGCUUACAUAGCGCAUCAUUCACCUACAAGAUACAUCUAAUCUUAACCGAACAGAUCAUUAGCUAAGAAAUUUAGAACUUGUUCAUGUCUUUUCUUUUGGGCAUCAUCAUAAGCUGAAGUAUUUUUGUGAAGAAGAUCAAGGUAUUUGCUCAGUUUGUCCACCUUUAUCUUCUCCUUCCCAGUUUCAACUCUUUCUUUCUCAGCUUCUGCUUGAACUUUUGUGGCUUCUGCUUGAUUAAGGGUGGCGUCGGCCAUUUUCUCUGUAGCAAUUGAUUUUCGUAGUUGAAUCUCAUUAAAUUUGUCCACACUCUCACUUGUCAAGCUUCCAGAGCAUUUAGACUUGCUUGAUGACUUCUGUUUAUCUUUUGCGUCUUUUGAAGUGUUGCGUCCCGGGGGUCGUUGAAGUUCACCUUCCUCAUCUAUUGCCUGGGUUGGAGAACUAUAAGCUCCUGAUGCAUUCAACUUGUUUCUUUUGUUCAUCUCUUCAACUGAAUAAGACCUUCUCCAUUUAGCCUAUUUCCUCACGUACUCCCACCAGUGCUCAUAUGGAAAGGGUCUUUUUGUCUUGGCAACACUCAUGUAUUUGGCACAUACCCUCUCCAUAAGUUGCUUGUCAUCACUCCCACUAGGCCAUGUACUUUUUUCAACAUUGUAGAUACCAUUGAACUUUGUAACCUUCUUUGUGGUCUUGGUCCAGUGGUUCUUGCAUUGCCCAACUGUUUUCUUCUGCUCUUUUGUUGCAUAUUUGUUGUACUCUGCUGCGACUUCCUUCCAAUAGGUCUCUGCCCUUUUGGAGCUUCCAUCAAUCGGAUCACAUGAAUUGUGCACCCAAGCUGCUAUGAGAAGUUCAUCCUCACGCUUACUCCAGUUCUUGCCUUUUCCUUUUUUCUGAAUCUCAUCAGGACUACUAUCACUGCCAUCUUGAUUACUGACAGCCGGAUCUUCAUCCACUUGAUAUGCAGGUGACAUGGGAGAACUAAAUCCAACUGGACUGUUCUCAACUCCUCUUGAACUAGUGCCUCUAGCAGAUCCAAGAAAAGGUAUGCAUCCAGCAGGAGAAGCUGGACUGCUACUUGAGCCUGCUCCAAAUGCUCCCGAAGGGUACUGCCCCAUGUUACCUUGGUAAGCAACACCAUGGUAGCCUAGAGGUUGUUUCGGCUCUGUGCAUCUGAAGGUGAGAAGGAGGAGUUCAUCAUGCUUGUGAAGCUUUGAGAAGAUGAGUGCUCCAUGUUUUGGGGGAGAGUUUCUCCAAGAUCUUCUUGUGCUUCUAUGAGCUUGUUCUGUACAUUUUAUAGACAUAUUCUCCAAACGGGCAGAUUUUCCUACUGCAGUGCAACGGUCAUCUGGAAA